rnacentral:rRNA from 1 species
UUUAUUAGAUAAAAAGCCAGUUCAUGCUUUUACAGUAUGAAAAUUGGUGAUUUAUAAUAACUUAGCAAAUCGCAAAGUGAAAACAGGCGAUAAAUCAUUCAAGUUUCUGACCUAUCAGCUUUCGACGGUAUGGUAUUGGCUUACCGUGGCAGUGACGGUUAACGGGGGAUUAGGGUUCGAUUCCGGAGAGGGAGCCUGAGAAACGGCUACCACAUCUAAGGAAGGCAGCAGGCGCGCAAAUUACCCAAUUCUAACAGUUUGAGAGAGGUAGUAACAAGAAAUAACAAUACAAGGCAGUUAAAAUGCUUUGUAAUUGGAAUGAUAGAAAUUUAAACCCUUUUUAAAGUAUCAAUUGGAGGGCAAGUCUGGUGCCAGCAGCCGCGGUAAUUCCAGCUCCAAUAGCGUAUAUUAAAAUUGUUGCAGUUAAAAAGCUCGUAGUUGAAGUUCUGCUGAAAGUAACCGGUCUGCUUUUAAUAAAAGUGGUAUCUUGGUAUGUAUUUAGCAAUGAUGUCCUUUGAAGUGUUUUUUACUUUAUUGUAAUAAAGCAUAUUCAGGACUUUUACUUUGAGAAAAUUAGAGUGUUUCUAGCAGGCUGACGCUUUGAAUACUGCAGC